GAUGAACGCUAGCUGCAGGCUUAACACAUGCAAGUCGCGGGGCAGCAUGGGGGUUGCUUGCAAUCCCCGAUGGCGACCGGCGCACGGGUGAGUAACGCGUAUCCAACCUGCCCUUCACCACGGGAUAACCCGGCGAAAGUCGGACUAAUACCGUAUGUUGUCCAUUGACGGCAUCCGAUUUGGACGAAAGGUUUGGCGGUGAAGGCUGGGGAUGCGUCCGAUUAGCUGGACGGCGGGGUGACGGCCCAGCGUGGCGACGAUCGGUAGGGGUUCUGAGAGGAAGGUCCCCCACACUGGAACUGAGACACGGUCCAGACUCCUACGGGAGGCAGCAGUGAGGAAUAUUGGUCAAUGGGCGUAAGCCUGAACCAGCCAAGUAGCGUGCAGGAUGACGGCCCUAUGGGUUGUAAACUGCUUUUAUGCGGGGAUAAAGUGGCCCACGUGUGGGUUUUUGCAGGUACCGCAUGAAUAAGGACCGGCUAAUUCCGUG
rnacentral:rRNA from 1 species